GCGCCUGUAGCUCAGCCGGACAGAGCAGCGGAUUUCUAAUCCGCGAGUCCCUCCAGGCGCG
rnacentral:tRNA from 1 species